CGUACAUUUUUCGGUCCUUCCACUGCAAUCUUUGUCUUUUACGCCAAAGUCACCGUGUUUAAACUUUUGAAACCACUCACGACAAGUUCUCUCACUUAAAGCAGACUUAUCAUAUGCUUCUACAAGCAAUCGAUGCACCUCAGCUUCAGAUUUGUUUUCAAUUGAAGAAGUAAAUUAAAAGUUGCGACAAAUGAUGCUUAUUUGGAACAAAAUUAGACAUUUAAGGAGAAACAAAAUAAUAUGAUGCUGAUACAAAGUCAAUAAUACUUCAUGCUGUCUUUCAUUUGUCAAUUUUAACCUGAACCUUGAGUAGCAUCAUCUUUUUUGUACACCUAAUAUUACUAAUAAAUUAAAGUGUAGUAUAUUAUAUUUAUUACAGAGCAAGGAUAGAUGGAAGAUUUAAAAAAAAUACUAAAAAAUUUGAACAAUGUACCGUACAUGAUAUAAUAGUAGAUGAAAACGAAUGGAUCAUCGAUAUCAUUAAAUUUUAUAAUCACGUGGUUGAUUUUAUCACAUUAAUAAAGUUGUGUUAUGAAAGAGUAUUAAUCGUCGAUGUUGUACUAGCGUCACUUAUGAUUAUUGUGGAUUAUUAUUAUGUAAAUAAAUUAUUUCAAAUUAACAUUUAAAUAUGUACACUUUUUUUUUUGCUGUAUCAAGCUAACGAUUAGUUCAUUUGUUUAGUUAUUUGAGAUACUGUCCGUAACAUUGAACACGAGUGAUGUAAUUAAAAAGGUAACUUAUGUUAUUGGAUCUGUUUCUGUAAUAUUCGCUUACAGUUAUCUCGGACAAAAAUUGAUAGACAAUCAUGAAUACAUUUAUUCAAGACUCUGUCAAAUUCCGUUUUAUACUCUAUCAUUGAAAACACAAAAGAUGUUACCAUUUUUGAUAAUGAGAAGCCUAACACCGUGUAAUCUUUCUAUAAAAGGAGUUAUCGUAAUAUGCCACUAUGUUUUUGCCUCGAUAAUGCAAACGUCAUUUUCUUAUGCUAUGAUAUUUCGUAAUUUGCUAUGAGAUUACAUUAAAUACAUACAUGUAAUUGUUCUGAGAAACAGAAUAAUUAUAAAAAGAAAAUGAAUGUAAUGAUAUUUUAUUGUUAUAUUAAUUACUUGAUUACGUAUAUGUAAUGUCGAUAAUUCUUGUAAAUUACAAACGUUGAUAAUAUAAUCACAGCACGAUAGCUUUCUUUUUAUUCAAGUUGUCACACUUUUCAUCCUAUGCUAAUAAUCAAGAUUUGCAGCAUAUAUUCUGAAUAAGAUAAUAUAUAAAAAAUAAUAAUAUUAUUAUUACGUUAAAUAAAAUUACGUUAAUUGUAAUCACUUGUAAGAAGUUCGCGCAAAAGAAAAAAAAAUUAUUCACUGGUUAUAAAAAAAUAAGUAAUCGAAGAGCAGACAAACUUACUUUAAAGUAAUACUUUAUCUUCAAGCGAUAAAAGUAAACUGAACGAGAAUAAGAUUGUAAAAAAAAAUGGUAAGAUCGCAACGCGCAUGUCAUCGUGGUGGGGGAAAUGAAAGAUUUGAAUAUGUAAA
rnacentral:misc_RNA from 1 species